rnacentral:tRNA from 1 species
UAGGGAGACCAACUGUAACCGCAACUAAGAUUGGCAACAAUCAAGGUAGUAGUUAGAGAUAUCCCAAGGUCGAGCGAGCUUGAUAAAAAUGCUUUCAAACUAUUGUUGCGGUUCGGACUGGGCUAUUAGCUCAGGUGGUUAGAGCGCGCCCCUGAUAAGGGCGAGGUCCCUGGUUCGAGUCCAGGAUGGCCCACCUCUAAUCAACAAAGAUUUGAGAGCUAAAACAUACCGCACCAAGAUUCAGCACCUCAAAUUGUCUAAAAGCAAGAGAGAAUGCUGGAUGUUGAAUCCAGUCAGCACCUUGAAAACUGCAUAGCAAAAAGAAGAAACGAAAGCAAUUGUUAAACGGACGAUUGUCCGGUUAAAUAAC